CAACAUAUAGUUUAAAUUAAAAUAUUAAUUUUGGAGAUUAAUGAUAAGAAUUUCUUUUUGUUGA
rnacentral:tRNA from 1 species